rnacentral:lncRNA from 1 species
ACUACUAUACUUAACAUGAACAGACUAGGCUAAUUAUCAUUACACUACACAACUGAAUUUAGAAGUUUAAACAGAUGAGAGAAAAUGUUGUCAAAUAUUAACAUGAAACAAUCAUUCAUUAUGCAUGAACUUCAAACAAUUACAGCCUUCAUGUUUGGAGGUCGUCUCAUAGAUAAUCAGGGGAUACCUGGAAAUUGGACAAAAAUAAUGAACCGGAAUGAGUCACUGUGCAAAAAUCAAUAGCAGUCAGCUAGCCACAAGCUCCAACCCAGGAAUGAACAAUCAAACAUCUCAAUCUACUUUUAACCAAAACUCUUGAUGAAAUCAAUUCAAACCAUUUCACUUGGAUGAAGUUAAACCAAUUUUCAGGAGCUAGAAAAGGGCAAAACCAGUAGAAAUCUAUUGAAUGAUAGUUUUUCUCUCAACUUCACUUGAUUUUUUAAUUCUCAAAUCAUUUAGCUUCAAAUGGUUUUUCUCUCUCAAAAUUUUGAUCUCUCAAUUCUUAGCUCUCAAAUUUUGUCUCUCAAAAACUAGGAUCUGAAAACUCCUUUUCAAGAACUCUUAGAUCUGAAAACUUUCCC